UCGCAAUCCGCCAACCGGUCAAGCCGUGUCGCGGAAGGUUUAUCAACCAGCCGAUAGCCCUGGAAGCCGGGGCAAAAGGUGAGCG
rfam:Roseateles depolymerans strain KCTC 42856, complete genome.